rnacentral:rRNA from 1 species
AACGAACGCUGGCGGCAUGCCUAACACAUGCAAGUCGAACGAGACCUUCGGGUCUAGUGGCGCACGGGUGCGUAACGCGUGGGAAUCUGCCCUCUGGUUCGGCACAACAGUUGGAAACGACUGCUAAUACCGGAUAAUGACUUCGGUCCAAAGAUUUAUCGCCUGAGGAUGAGCCCGCGUAGGAUUAGCUUGUUGGUGAGGUAAGAGCUCACCAAGGCGACGAUCCUUAGCUGGUCUGAGAGGAUGAUCAGCCACACUGGGACUGAGACACGGCCCAGACUCCUACGGGAGGCAGCAGUGGGGAAUAUUGGACAAUGGGCGAAAGCCUGAUCCAGCAAUGCCGCGUGAGUGAUGAAGGCCUUAGGGUUGUAAAGCUCUUUUACCCGGGAUGAUAAUGACAGUACCGGGAGAAUAAGCCCCGGCUAACUCCGUGCCAGCCGCCCGCAGUAAUAC